rnacentral:rRNA from 1 species
GUCUACGGCCAUACCACCCUGAACGCGCCCGAUCUCGUCUGAUCUCGGAAGCUAAGCAGGGUCGGGCCUGGUUAGUACUUGGAUGGGAGAGAUGAGGCUCCUAGCACAAGAAAUUUUGGCAGACAAACC